rnacentral:rRNA from 1 species
CCUACGGUGGGCAGCAGUGGGGGAUAUUGCACAAUGGGGGAAACCCUGAUGCCGCGACGCCGCGUGUGGGAAGACGGUCCUCUGGAUUGUAAACCACUGUCCCCAGGGACGAAAAUGACGGUACCUGGGGAGGAAGCUCCGGCUAACUACGUGCCAGCAGCCGCGGUAAUAUGUAGGGACCGAGCGUUUUCCGGAAUUACUGGGUGUCAAGGGAGCGUAGGCGGGGAUGUAAGUCGGGUGUAAAAACUACCGGUUCAACUGGUAGUCGCACUCAAAACUGCAGCUCUUGAGUGGAGUAGAGGCAGGCGGAAUUCCUAGUGUAGCGGUGAAAUGCGUAGAUAUUAGGAGGAACACCAGUGGCGAAGGCGGCCUGCUGGGCUUUUACUGACGCUGAGGCUCGAAAGUGUGGGGAGCAAACAGGAUUAGAUACCCGUGUAGUC